CCUACGGGUGGCUGCAGUGGGGAAUAUUGCACAAUGGGGGAAACCCUGAUGCAGCGACGCCGCGUGAGCGAGGAAGUAUUUCGGUAUGUUAAGCUCUAUCAGCCGGGACGAAAAAAGACGGUACCUUACUCAGAAGCGCCUGCUAACUACGUGCCAGCCGCCUCGGUAAUACGUAGGGGGCACGCUUCAUCCGGAUUUACGGGGUUUAAAGGGAGCGUAUACGGGAAGGCAAGCCAGAAGUGAAAGGGCAGGGCUAAACCCUGUACAUGCUGUUGGAACUGGUGUGCUAGAGUGCAGGAGAGGUAAGGGGAAUUCGUGGUGUAGUGGUGAAAUGCGUAGAUAUUAGGAGGAACACCAGUGGCGAAGGCGGCUUACUGGACUGUAACUGACGUUGAGGCUCGAAAGCGUGGGGAGCGAACAGGAUUAGAUACCCGAGUAGUC
rnacentral:rRNA from 1 species